GCCAGCACCGGAGCUGGGAGAACAACAAACGGGGAACAUUUUAAUUUGUGUGGCCUUUGAGGCUGCUGCAGCUCGUUUUUUUUGCAUGUGUGUGUCUAGUUGCGAAGGGAAGGAAAGGGGGUCUGACUAAGAUUUCAGAGCUGUGCAAACCUACAGCUGAGCUAAGGGAUUAAUCCCAGCCUUGAAUUUAAAGAAGAGAAAGAAACGAAGGAAAUGGUUUGAGUUUGAGCCUAAACUUGGCCCUCAUUGGGGGAAAAACAUGUUACUGUCUUGCAAGCGACGUUAAUGUUGUGCUGUGAUGCCAGCAGAUUCCAGACUGCAUUUGCCGAUCGCCCAUCAUCUUAAACCAUCAAUUUCACAGCUCCCCACUCCUUUACUGCACAUCGGCGGAAAAUCCAUUUCACCUUGAGAGUGAAAUCAUGCUGGCCUUUGAUUGGGAGAACAUCCACGCCAUAGAGGACGUCCCCAUGGGACUUGGGGCUCUGCUAAGGCUGUAUUUUUUGUUUUCAGUCAAAUUUCCCCAAAAUGUCAAAAAUACUUAUGUUCUUGUCACGUCCUGACCGUAGUUUCUUUUUUAUGUCUCUAUUUAUUUUAGUUUGGUCAGGGCGUGAGUUGGGGUGGGCAUUCUAUGUUUUUGUUUCAUGUGUUAUAAUUCUAUGUGUUUGGCCUGGUAUGGUUCCCAAUCAGAGGCAGCUGUCAAUCGUUGUCUCUGAUUGAGAACCAUACGUAGGCAGCCUGUUUUCCCACUAUGGUUUGUGGGUAGGUGUUUUCUGUGUUUUCACCAGUUGUAAUAAAUUUAACAUGGACACGUACCAUGCUGCAUUUUGGUCCGAUCUAUCCUACUCCUCAUCAGACGAAGAAGAAGUUCGUUACAGUUCUGGGGAUAAGAGAAGUUGGGGUGAAGUUACCAGGGCCGGUCAUAAAGAUGGCAAACUUCCUAACAUAAUUAAGUGGUUGUUGGGCACACACACACACUAAAGCAAAAAUAAUCUGUAUUUAGCAUCAAGUCUACAAUAUUGUUAGUUUACCUAUGAUUCAUUUUUAAUGUGUUGUUUUUUUGUACAUAAUUAUUUUAUGAUAUAAUGAAAAGUUCUAUACAAAGUAAAUGUAUUUAUUAUGGUCUGACAUGUCUGCAGAAAUGUUGCAAGUUUGGCAAAU